AAUUUUGGAAAUUGAGGGGAAAAAAUGAAGUUGACCCCUAUUCAGAAGUGAUCAAGAACUGCAGCUUCAAGACCCCAUACUGCUGAGCAGGGGUCAAUAUCACAAACAGGAGGAUGGAAGGUAUUCCAGCAAAGUUUCACCAAAUAGAACUGGGGACUCCUGGAGGUGGCUAUUAGGCAAGGAAGGAUAAUAAAGGUUAACAGUUCCCAGACCCCAGCUAUACACUGCGGAUUCUCAAUCAUAUUACUGCUGAUGUACACUCCUUCUGUACCACUUUAAGGGUUAUAUUUUAAAGGUAAUGUUCUAGAAUGCUGUGGUAAAUAUAUAUGAGGAAAAAUGCAACCAUUUAUGUAAUAAACUCAAGGCAGGUUUUGAAGGAGGUUGAAGCAAGAGUAUGAAAUAAUAAAACACUUAGAGACUUAUUCUUUGAUGCUUUGCCCUUGUGAGGGAAUUGCCUGUUCUGCAAGUGUAUAAUAAAACAGAAGUAGCCGGGACUGUGUGAGGUAAAAUGCAUAAAAGGGAGAACAGCUUGUAAAGGAAAUAAAUCUUGGCGCUUUACUGAAGACCAUUUAAAUGUUUAUUAUGUAUUUAUUUAUUAAAGAUUGCCAAAGUCUGCUGAGAGUGGGGUAUAAUAAGCAUCUCCAGAUGCUCCUUACUAGAGCAACUCCAAACAUAUAACAACUUCUGAUAAAUCCUAAAAACAAUUUAAGGCGGGCUGUAAUGAACUCAGGUCUUAGAAGAGGUGACCACAGUAAGAAAUAGACAACAUACACAUUUCUAUGAAAAGGGUAGUAGUAAAUGCAACAGUGUUUCUCACAUGAAAUUAACUAAAACAGUAUAUCCUUCUAGUACUUUUUAUAAAGGUACAUGCUACAAGGCUGACUGUGAGGAAAACAUAAUACAGUUGGCAUCCCUCUCUGCUGUGCUAAGGGCUGAAUCACUCUUGUACCCUGGUUUUAAGUCUAGAUGGCUGUUAUGAAUCCAAAGCUGUCUGAUGUGCUUGUAUUUGAAAAGUUGAUGAAAUCCGGUCUUCAGAAAACAAAGGGAGAGUGCUCUUUUAAAACUGCUUUGGCUUUUUCUCAGUAUUGCCGCAUUUAAUUUAAUGUUGUUUCUAUGCUGAAGACGUUCUCCUCAACCUGAUUUUUACGGCAGCAGUAGUGCUGUUGUCACUGUUAUGAUCAAGGGAUAUAAACAGGACAAGAAGAG
rnacentral:lncRNA from 1 species